GUCAUCGAGAGCACACCAUCCCCGGAUUGCUUCAACGCUCUUAUAUAAGCAGAAGACAGAUCCCCAGACAGCAUUCUCAGCGAAAACAUGUCGAGGAUUCUGAUUGUGGCUUUGUGCGUGGUGGGCUUCGCCCUGAUGCUGGAGGCCCAGCGCCAGGGAGGCGAAGGACCCCGUGGAGGACAGGGUGGACAGGGCGGCCAGGGCGGCCGUGGAGGUCCCGGUGGUCG